CUUCCAAAAGAGAUGACCCCAAAAUCUCGUGACAUAUUUUGGUGACCCAACCUCACCUCCUCCUUUCGCAAGACAAGCCAUUACCUCUGUUGACAAAAGGCAAGAAUAUUGUGCCUCAUCCAAACCAGUACACUAUGACAGUGCUCGUGAGUUUCGACAGCAUCUGCUGUGCACACACAGAAGG
rnacentral:lncRNA from 1 species